UUUUAAUUGAAGAGUUUGAUCAUGGCUCAGAUUGAACGCUGGCGGCAGGCCUAACACAUGCAAGUCGAGCGGGGUUUUCGGACCUAGCGGCGGACGGGUGAGUAAUGCGUAGGAAGCUACCCGAUAGAGGGGGAUACCAGUUGGAAACGACUGUUAAU
rnacentral:rRNA from 1 species